CGUUAAAUGCUUUUUAUCUAUAAAAUAUCAAUUUGAUUGUUUACAACAAACUAUAAAAAAGUCAUUAAAUUCAUUUCUUUUUACUCUUGUAGCUAUACAAUUGAACCUAAAUAAAAUGAAUAAUCUACUUGAAAAGGAAAUUAAGAAAAUGAAACUACUGAAAAGUAUCACGAAAGCUUUACAAUUACAACGAGAGGAAUUACCUAGUGAGAUCAUUCAGUUGAACCUAAACGGAAUAAAAAAUCAAA